rnacentral:rRNA from 1 species
UACGUAGGCAGCGAGCGUUGUUCGGAAUUACUGGGCGUAAAGAGUGUGUAGGCGGUGCUCCAAGUCUGUUGUGAAAUCUCCCGGCUUAACUGGGAGGGUGCAGCGGAAACUAGAGUGCUAGAGGGUGGGAGAGGUAAGCGGAAUUCCUGGUGUAGCGGUGAAAUGCGUAGAUAUCAGGAGGAACACCUGUGGUGUAGACAGCUUACUGGACCGCUUCUGACGCUGAGACACGAAAGCGUGGGUAGCAAACAGG